UUGGAGGGCAAGUCUGGUGCCAGCAGCCGCGGUAAUUCCAGCUCCAAUAGCGUAUAUUAAAGUUGUUGCAGUUAAAAGCUCGUAGUUGAAUUUCGGGGUCAAUAGGUUGGUCGUGCCAAUGGUAUGUACUGGCUUUAUUGAUUCCUACCUCUUGACGAACUGUGAUGCCAUUAAUUUGGUGUUGCAGGAAAUCAGGACUGUUACCUUAGAAAAAUUGAGUGUUUAAAGCAGGCUUACGCUUGAAUACAUUAGCAUGGAAUAAUGAAAUGGGACGUUUGAACCUAUUUUGUUGGUUUCUAGGAUCGACGUAAUGAUUAAUAGGGAUAGGUUGGGGGCAUUAGUAUUCAAUUGUCAGU
rnacentral:rRNA from 1 species